AGUGAACGCUGGCGGUAGGCCUAACACAUGCAAGUCGAACGGCAGCACAGUGAGUGGUUGCGCUUAGGGGUGUCGAGUGUCGGACGGUUGAGGAAGACAUCGGAAUCUACUUUGUAGGGGGUGAUAACGGAGGGAAACUUACGCUAAUACCGCAUAUGUCCUACGUGGGAGAGCAGGGGUUGUUCGGACCUUGCGGGAUGGAAUAAGCCUAUGUCGGAUUAGCUUGUUGGGGGGGUAAAGGCGCACCAAGGCCACGAUCCGUAGCUGGUAUGAGCGGAAGAUGCGCCACACUGGCACUGAGAAACGGCACAGACUCCUACGGGAGGCAGCAGCGGGGAAUAUUGGACAAUGGGGGAAAGCCUGAUCCAGCCAUACCGCGUGGGUGAAGAAGGCCUUCGGGUUGUAAAGCCAUUUUGUUCGGAAAGAAAAGAAGCAGGUUAAUACCCGGCUGUUAUGACGGUACCCAAAGAAUAAGCACCGGCUAACUUCGUG
rnacentral:rRNA from 1 species